GAUGAACGCUCGCGGCGUGCUUAACACAUGCAAGUCGAACGAGAAAUGUAGACGGAAACCUUCGGGCGGAAGCCUUCAUUUCGAGUGGCGGACGGGUGAGUAACGCGUGGGUAACCUGCCUCAUACAGGGGGAUAACAGUUGGAAACGACUGUUAAUACCGCAUAAGACCACCGCAUCGCAUGAUGCGGGGGUAAAAACUCCGGUGGUAUGAGAUGGACCCGCGUUCGAUUAGCCAGUUGGCGGGGUAACGGCCCACCAAAGCGACGAUCGAUAGCCGAUCUGAGAGGAUGACCGGCCACAUUGGGACUGAGACACGGCCCAAACUCCUACGGGAGGCAGCAGUGGGGAAUAUUGCACAAUGGGGGAAACCCUGAUGCAGCGACGCCGCGUGAGUGAAGAAGUACUUCGGUAUGUAAAGCUCUAUCAGCAGGGAAGAAAAUGACGGUACCUGAGUAAGAAGCCCCGGCUAACUACGUG
rnacentral:rRNA from 1 species